ACUGGACAACCUGCCUCAAGGCUGGGGAUAACAUUGGAAACAGAUGCUAAUACCGAAUAAAAACUUAGUGUCGCAUGACACCAGGUUAAAAGGCGCUACGGCGUCACCUAGAGAUGGAUCCGCGGUGCAUUAGUUAGUUGGUGAGGUAAAAGGCUCACCAAGACAAUGAUGCAUAGCCGAGUUGAGAGACUGAUCGGCCACAUUGGGACUGAGACACGGCCCAAACUCCUACGGGAGGCUGCAGUAGGGAAUCUUCCACAAUGGGCGCAAGCCUGAUGGAGCAACGCCGCGUGUGUGAUGAAGGCUUUCGGGUCGUAAAGCACUGUUGUAUGGGAAGAACAGCUAGAAUAGGGAAUGAUUUUAGUGUGAUGGUACCAUACCAGAAAGGGACGGCUAAAUACGUG
rnacentral:rRNA from 1 species